GCACAUGACCAGAUCACCUGGAAUGCACCUGGUCUCAUCAGAUCUUGGAAGCUAAGCAGAGUUGAGCCUGGCUAGUGCUUGGAUGGGUGACCACUAUAUAAAUCGUGGGGUUGUAGGCU
rnacentral:rRNA from 1 species